rnacentral:rRNA from 1 species
ACGAACGCUGGCGGCGUGCUUAACACAUGCAAGUCGAACGCUGAAGCUUGGUGCUUGCACUGAGUGGAUGAGUGGCGAACGGGUGAGUAAUACGUGAGUAACCUGCCCUUGACUCUGGGAUAAGCCUGGGAAACUGGGUCUAAUACUGGAUACGACAUGUCACCGCAUGGUGGUGUGUGGAAAGGGUUUUACUGGUUUUGGAUGGGCUCACGGCCUAUCAGCUUGUUGGUGGGGUAAUGGCUCACCAAGGCGACGACGGGUAGCCGGCCUGAGAGGGUGACCGGCCACACUGGGACUGAGACACGGCCCAGACUCCUACGGGAGGCAGCAGUGGGGAAUAUUGCACAAUGGGCGGAAGCCUGAUGCAGCGGCGCCGCGUGAGGGAUGACGGCCUUCGGGUUGUAAACCUCUUUCAGCACGGAAGAAGCGAAAGUGACGGUACGUGCAGAAGAAGCGCCGGCUAACUACGUG